CCGUAGAGAUACGGUGUGCAUUAGCGUCCAUACAGGUGGUGCAUGGCUGUCGUCAGCUCGUGUCGUGAGAUGUUGGGUUAAGUCCCGCAACGAGCGCAACCUUGUCCUAUGUUGCCAGCGGUUCGGCCGGGGACGUCAUAGGAGACUGCCGGGGAUAACUCGGAGGAAGGUGAGGACGACGGUCAAGUCAUCAUGCCCCUUAUGUCCAGGGCGUGCACGCAUGCUACAAUGGUCGGUACAACGGGCUGCGAUCCCGCGAGGGUGAGCGAAUCCCUUAAAACCGGCCUCAGUUCGGAUUGGAGUCUGCAACUCGACUCCAUGAAGUCGGAGUCGCUAGUAAUCGCGGAUCAGCAAAGCCGCGGUGAAUGCGUUCUCGGGAUU
rnacentral:rRNA from 1 species